rnacentral:tRNA from 1 species
GCCGAUGUAGCUCAGGGGUAGAGCAGCUCUUUCGUAAAGAGCAGGUCGAGGGUUCGAAUCCGUCCAUCGGCUCCC